rnacentral:rRNA from 1 species
GAUGAACGCUGGCGGCGUGCCUAACACAUGCAAGUCGAGCGAACAGAUGAGGAGCUUGCUCCUCUGACGUUAGCGGCGGACGGGUGAGUAACACGUGGAUAACCUACCUAUAAGACUGGGAUAACUUCGGGAAACCGGAGCUAAUACCGGAUAAUAUAUUGAACCGCAUGGUUCAAUAGUGAAAGACGGUUUUGCUGUCACUUAUAGAUGGAUCCGCGCCGCAUUAGCUAGUUGGUAAGGUAACGGCUUACCAAGGCAACGAUGCGUAGACGACCUGAGGGGCUGAUCGGCCACCCUGGAACUGAGACGCGGUCCAGACUCCUGCGGGAGGCCGCAGUAGGGAACCUUCCGCAAUGGGCGAAAGCCUGACGCAGCGACGCCGCGUGAGUGAUGACGGUCUUCGGAUCGUAAAACUCUGUUAUGGGGGAAGAACAAAUGUGUACGUAACUGUGCACGUCUUGACGGUACCUAGUCAGAAAGCCCCGGCUAACUACGUG